UACGGGGGGUGCAAGCGUUGCUCGGAAUUACUGGGCGUAAAGCGUGCGCAGGCGGCUUUGCAAGACAGAUGUGAAAUCCCCGGGCUCAACCUGGGAACUGCAUUUGUGACUGCAAGGCUAGAGUACGGUAGAGGGGGAUGGGAUUCCGCGUGUAGCAGUGAAAUGCGUAGAUAUGCGGAGGAACACCGAUGGCGAAGGCAAUCCCCUGGACCUGUACUGACGCUCAUGCACGAAAGCGUGGGGAGCAAAAGGG
rnacentral:rRNA from 1 species